GUGUUGUGUUAGUGUAUGCAGUGUGUGUGUGUUGUGUUAGUGUAUGCAGUGCGUGUUGUGUUAGUGUAUGUAGUGUGUGUGUUGUGUUAGUGUAUGCAGUGUGUGUUGUAUUAGUGUAUGCAGUGUGUGUUGUGUUAGUGUAUGUAGUGUGUGUUGUGUUAGUGUAUGCAGUGUGUGUGUGUUGUGUUAGUGUAUGCAGUGUGUGUUGUGUUAGUGUAUGCAGUGUGUGUGUU